CGGAGUGGCGGGCGGGUGAGUAAUGUCUGGGAAACUGCCCGAUGGAGGGGGAUAACUACUGGAAACGGUAGCUAAUACCGCAUAACGUCGCAAGACCAAAGAGGGGGACCUUCGGGCCUCUUGCCAUCGGAUGUGCCCAGAUGGGAUUAACUAGUAGGUGGGGUAAAGGCUCACCUAGGCGACGAUCCCUAGCUGGUCUGAGAGGAUGACCAGCCACACUGGAACUGAGACACGGUCCAG
rnacentral:rRNA from 1 species